GGAAGUUGAUGCUGUAUUCAUCUCUGAGACUGUCUCAUUUGUGAACGUGAGAGCAAGAACAGAGACUGAGAGAGACAGAGAAGCACGAUGGCUGCAUUCACAUGGAUUCAAAUGUCUUCAUUACUGAUACUGAUGCUUCAGUUUAAAGGAACAGCUGAGCAAUAUUCACCUGUUUAUGCUGUCAGAGCUGAACAUGACGUUACUCUGCCUUGUAAAAAUUUGAUACAUGAUCAGCAUGAAUGUAAAAGUACUAUCUGGCUGUUCAGUGAUUCAGGAAGCACAACAACACUCUUUGAAAAUGGGCAGAUUCACAGAGAUACCCAGACUAAAUCAGACAGACUGAAUGUUAAAAAGAAAAACUGUUCUCUGGUUAUAAAGAAGGUCUCAGUUGAGGAUGUUGGUCGUUACACCUGCAGACAGUUCAACAAAUCAGGACAACAACAAGGUCCAGACAUUCAGGCUGAUCUGACUGUUGUCAGCAUCACUAAACAUAAGAACCAUGGCAACGUCAUGUUGACCUGCUCUGUAUUUGCCUAUGGACACUGUGGGCACAAAGUGGAGUGGCUGUAUGAGGAUGAAAAGAAAAUAUCAGACAUGAAGAUCUCGGCAGGUCGAUGCACUUCUACUGUGACAUUUACAAGAUCUGACCUGUCCAAGUUUUCUAAGCUGUUAAAGUGUCAUGUAACAGAUACUUCCACCAAAAAUGUGACAAUCUUUCCCUUCAAACCUCAAAAGUCUUCAGAUAAAGAUGCAAAUAAGACAAAAUCCACAAUGGCAUCAACUUCCACCACAACAGCAAAUUUAAUGCCAACACUGAAAACAUCAUUGUCAUCAACAAUAUCAUCAAUAAAAUCAUCAAAAUUGUCGACAGCAAUUAACAUCAACGAACGUAAAGACGUCAGCAGUGACACCGGUGUAUCAGAAAGCAUCUGAAAAUCAGUUAUGGUUUAUUAUUGUUCCUGUGGGAUUAGCAGGACUGUUAAUAACUGCUGUCACCAGAUGGAAGAAAAAUACAGAAAACCAGAAACUACUCUCUGACAGCACUGAUGAAGCUGAGACCUAUGUGUUAUACGUCACCGUCAGCUUUACCAAGAAGGCCCAAAACAAAGCCCAGGCAUGUUGUGGUGAUGAUGACGGAGACACUGUGACCUACAGCAUUGUGAAUGCUUCCUCUUCUUCUGCUGGAGGUUUUACAGAUUCAAGCAACCUUUAUUCAAUAAACUAAAGAAAGAGAUUAAAUAGUAUGUUGCACAUAUUUUAUUUUUUUUUUUUUUUGGCAGUGAGGUAGUUCAGUUAGAUACAUUGUAGAUUUUAUUCUUUACACAGUGUUCUCAUAUUCCUAGUAUAUAGAAAUUAUUUACAAGGUGUAUAUGGAUGUCCUUAAUACUAGGAAUGUUAUUUUUCUUUGCACAUGCUUUGUUACUCUGUUUUCCAAUAUUUAGGACAAACGACAUCCAUCACACUUUGGAUGGAGCUGCUCUAUUUCUAGAAAUUGUUGCAGUCUUACAUGCUUCUCUGCAGCUGCUCUCCUCCUAUAAUACCUCCAAACUCCAUCCCCAUUCAGACUGUCUGAUCUCAGGCCACCAAAAAAAAAAAAAAAAAACACCAGCAAACUACUAGCAAGCUUAAUGGAUAUUUUAGUCGAAAUCAAUCAGAAUCCCCAAGUAACUGUCAGAAUCCUCCAAGUACAGGCUGAGGAGGAGCAGCAACACUCUCACCAGUUUUUUUUUUAUCAACCAUUGCCAAGACAUGUUGUAAUUCAUUUGAAGGCCAAACUCUUCAGCUUUG